rnacentral:rRNA from 1 species
UGGGGAAUAUUGCACAAUGGGGGAAACCCUGAUGCAGCGACGCCGCGUGAGCGAAGAAGGCUUUCGAGUCGUAAAGCUCUGUCCUAUGAGAAGAUAAUGACGGUAACCGGAGAAGAAGCCCCGGCUAACUUCGUGCCAGCAGCCGCGGUAAUACGAAGGGGGCUAGCGUUGUUCGGAUUUACUGGGCGUAAAGCGCACGUAGGCGGACUUUUAAGUCAGGGGUGAAAUCCCGGGGCUCAACCCCGGAACUGCCUUUGAUACUGGAAGUCUUGAGUAUGGUAGAGGUGAGUGGAAUUCCGAGUGUAGAGGUGAAAUUCGUAGAUAUUCGGAGGAACACCAGUGGCGAAGGCGGCUCACUGGACCAUUACUGACGCUGAGGUGCGAAAGCGUGGGGAGCAAACAGG